rnacentral:rRNA from 1 species
UCCGUAGGUGAACCUGCGGAAGGAUCAUUAGUGAAUAUAGGAUGUCCAACUUAACUUGGAGUCCGAACUCUCACUUUCUAACCCUGUGCAUUUGUUUGGGAUAGUAGCCUCUCGGGGUGAACUCCUAUUCACUUAUAAACACAAAGUCUAUGAAUGUAUUUAAUUUAUAACAAAAUAAAACUUUCAACAACGGAUCUCUUGGCUCUCGCAUCGAUGAAGAACGCAGCGAAAUGCGAUAAGUAAUGUGAAUUGCAGAAUUCAGUGAAUCAUCGAAUCUUUGAACGCACCUUGCGCUCCAUGGUAUUCCGUGGAGCAUGCCUGUUUGAGUGUCAUGAAUACUUCAACCCUCCUCUUUUCUAGUGAAAGAGAAGGUGCUUGGUUUCUGAGCGUUUUGCUGGCCUCACGGUCGAGCUCGCUCGUAAUGCAUUAGCAUCCGCAAUCGAACUUCGGAUUGACUUGGCGUAAUAGACUAUUCGCUGAGGAAUUCUAAUCUUCGGAUUAGAGCCGGGUUAGGUUAAAGGAAGCUUCUAAUCCUAAUGUCUAUAUUUUAAGAUUAGAUCUCAAAUCAGGUAGGACUACCCGCUGAACUUAAGCAUAUCAAUAAGCGGAGGA